rnacentral:snoRNA from 1 species
AUUCCAUGAUGCGGCUGAUAUGUAUCCUUGAAAACGCUCCCAUGCUUCUAGAAUAGGUUCACCUUUCUGCUGAUGAAAUUCUAAAAUCUUCCCUCGUAAGAUA